GAAUCCAGUUCAGAGCCUACUGUGAGGAUUCAGGGAGGCCAUGUGUAAAACACUUGGAAUUUUCUCUCCCCACCCCCACACCUUCAGAAAUAACGAGUGCAAAGUCACUCUAUCUGCUUGUGAACAUUUUGAAGGUUUUCAUUCCCUCCGGGAGGAAAGAGGUCUGUUUUGGAGUGAGGCCAGUGGUGUUCAAAAUACAGGAAGUAAAAGAAACACAGGCGCGAUUCUCAUGCACUAGAGGGGAGUUCUCUUUUAGUAUAAGCAGAAAAGCAAAUCUACUUGAGAUGAACCAGCUUCUGCCUGAGGUGAACAAAUCCUUUCCCCCUGAGAUCUUAUCGUUUCUUAUCUGGAAGAUGGAUAGAAUGGAGCCAGUCUCCCCAGAGUCUGGUGGCUGUUUGA